rnacentral:lncRNA from 1 species
AAUUUUUCACAAGGUCCUGCUUACAGGCAUGCUGGUGGUGGUGGAGGUCCAGUCAAUUCCACAGAAUAAGCAGGGUCAGAUCAGGUGGGAAGGCAAGAGCAGAGACCUCCUAGAAGAUCCCUGAGUGCUACAGAAACAGAGCCCUGCUGCAAGUUUCUCCUAGUACAGCAACACAAUAUUUUAUUGAAUUACACCAGAAGGCUUUCCAAGAAGAAGUUUUGUCACUUUCAGUUAGUUUUGCUAAGAAAUAGCAGAGCCUUCAGGUUGCUCACAGCUUCUACUGAGAUGUCAUGGACCCUGUUACACCAAGACAAAAAUUACUAGAGUGUCCUGAAUUUUUGUAAUGUAAAUGCAAAGAAGGGAAGCCUGAAAAGCAGUGCUGUGCUCAAGAUGGGCUGCAGUUUGAUAGGACCAACUACACUUGAAUCAUCUCUCUUAUAAUCAAUUUUUUCCUCAGAGCUCU